rfam:Chloroflexi bacterium RBG_13_51_18 RBG_13_scaffold_20750, whole genome shotgun sequence.
AACCAUCGACCUAUAUGGCGGUGAGUAUCGAGCGAAUACCUUAACAAUAUAACAAGUCGCUUGGAUCGGAAACGACCGAGACGGCAAA